rnacentral:tRNA from 1 species
UCUAAGGAAGAUCGAGAAUUGGAAAGACGCAGUCUUCGGGCUGAUGAUCCUUCUCCAUCUUAUUAGAACAUAGAUCGCAGGCCAGUCAGCCUGACGAUCGCUUUGCAGGCGUGCCGCCUUCGUUUCUCUUUCUUCAAGAUGAUUGACAAUCUUUCGCUCACGCGCUGAGCGCAUUCUUUGAAUGCGAGCGCUGCGCGAGCGCGGCCCAGAUGGGCGCGACGGACUAGCGUCCUGUAUUGGUGCUGACUGAUUUAUUGGUUGGCUGGAUACACGGGCUUGUAGCUCAGUUGGUUAGAGCACACGCUUGAUAAGCGUGGGGUCGGAGGUUCAAGUCCUCCCAGGCCCACCAAAUAUGUGAUAAGGGGCCAUAGCUCAGCUGGGAGAGCACCUGCUUUGCAAGCAGGGGGUCGUCGGUUCGAUCCCGUCUGGCUCCACCAUCACUUUGUUUGGUGUAGAGUAGGACGGCAGUCAAUCAUCGAGGAAAGAAGCCAGUUUGCGGACUUUACGAAGUCUGCCUGUUCUGUAUGAAAUCGUGAAGAGAAGAUGUAAUCGGAUCAACUAUCCAGUUGAUGUCGCAAUGGUUUGCUCAAACCUUGCAUUAUGAUUGGACGCUAACCGCGCCACCGAUUGUAUCUCGAGAAGCUGGUCUUUCUGCUGAUAACGUUGAAGCUGACAAGCAUUUGCAGUCAAAUGGCAACAUUUGACGUGGCAUAAUGCGUUGUAAGAAUGUUUUGAUGGAUAUUGGCAAUGAGAGUG